ACAAAAUUGUUUAAUUGAAUGUUUCAGUAAAGUUUUUUUUUUCUUUUUUUCUUUUUCCUGUCAAAUCACAGGAGUUAUAGAGCAGCUUCAGAAGACUAUAGUGUGUGUGGAUGCAAUGUCAUUUCCUGAUCUUUACAAAAUCUAAUUUUCUUCCUGUCUGUCAGAAAACAGCAGAGACAGCAUGAUGCAACGGAUUGGGAAAGCCAGGUGCCAAGAAGGCACCUGUUCAGUUCAGGGGGAUCUAAGGAGCAUGACUCAAGAUUGAGCCAUGGACUUGGUGAGCAGUGCUUACUGGGACAAGAGGAGUCUCCAUUUGAUUAUGCUUCUGGAGCAAGGUGCAAGAAGAGGACUAAAUAUGAUUCAAACACUUCUCAGGGUAUAUUCUGCUUUUACACGGGCCUCUGAAAUUCUGCUGACCUAGCUUACUUAGUUUCACUACUAUUCUACAUUUCAUGCAAUAUGCAGAAAGAACUACUUUGGGGUGUGAUAAGAUGUAAACUCUUCUUUGUGUGAGAUGGGCCUGCAUUGGCGAGAGCUUUGAAUCUGACCUUGUGGCUCUUCCCUGAAAUGAGCACAUCAAUAUAUGACAAGAACUUUUUAAACUCUGGAGCUAGAUCUUAUGAAAUCUCAAGCUGCAGGAAAACCCAGAUGACUGGAAAAGAAAGCUGGUGAUA